GUGUGUGUGUGUGUGUGUGUGUGUGUGUGUGUGUGUGGUAUCUAAAUCCUCUCACACCUCAGAGAGCCAAAGCCAACAAGUCCAACCGGAUCUGGAGAGUUUGGCAGAACAUCUGAGUUUGUUCACCAAACAUUUUCCGGCACAAUUAACACAUUUGUUUUCUUUCUUCUGACUCUUGUUGACUGACACUGAGUCCGCUGAUCGUUCGUAGAAUCAGAUCUGUGAUAUAUAUAGAUGUUUAUUUUUUUAAAUGUGUAAAGUGAAAGAGUCCAGUGAGUCGUCGCUGUCGUCGAGAAUUCGACGGCGUCUUUGAUGAAUUUCGUACCUUCUCCAUCAAUGUGCCGAGCGACUUCGACACGAAUCAGCAUCAGACACAAACUGUUGCGGCGAUAGAAGCGAUGACAAAGAGACGCAUUCAGAGGGAGUGGAGGUGAUGAUUUUCCUUCAGAGAAACAGGUCAGGUUUCUAGAGGAAGAGGCUCCAAGGUCGUCUGAGAAGACGGGAGGCGACUGCGUUCUGUCGCAGAGGUUUUGUUCUUUUUCUGUUUCCUCAAGAUGAGAAGCAGCAGCGUCGUGUCAGUGUGGAGCGUCGGGUCGCAGCCAGUUACAGAAGAACCGCGUCGUCUGCGUCUCCCGCCGGGGCUCCGGGGGUCACAGCGACCUCCGUCGACCUCCGCUGACCUCCGUCCACCUUCAUCGGCCCUGAUGAGGAGCAGCACGGUCAAGAGGCAGCGGCGGAGGAGCCGUGUCCUCAUCUGACGAGUCCAAUCUCGACACAACCCUCCUUGUCCGGCUGCGUCCAUGACUCCAGUGUUCACAGGCCUGCGGCAGGUCGGGACACGGAGACGUUCUGAACAAUCCUCCGCCGGAUUAAUCUGGUGGUAAAUGUGAAGCCACGUGAGCGAUGAUUUAAAACGUCUCCAAAUAAACUUACAACAACGAACU